rnacentral:rRNA from 1 species
CUUGCCUUCCAUGAGAGUGGCGCACGGGUGCGUAACACGUAUGUAACCUACCCUGUUCAGGGGGAUAGCCUCUCGAAAGAGAGAUUAAGACCGCAUAACAUCAUUGACUGGCAUCUGUUAAUGAUCAAAUAUUUAUAGGAACAAGAUGGGCAUGCGGAACAUUAGCUAGUUGGUAAGGUAAAGGCUUACCAAGGCUACGAUGUUUAGGGGAUCUGAGAGGAUGACCCCCCACACUGGUACUGAGACACGGACCAGACUCCUACGGGAGGCAGCAGUAAGGAAUAUUGGUCAAUGGGCGCAAGCCUGAACCAGCCAUGCCGCGUGCAGGAAGACGGCCCUACGGGUUGUAAACUGCUUUUAUACCGGAAUAAACCUCUUUACGUGUAAAGAGCUGAAUGUACGGUAAGAAUAAGGAUCGGCUAACUCCGUGCCAGCAGCCGCGGUAAUACGGAGGAUCCAAGCGUUAUCCGGAUUUAUUGGGUUUAAAGGGUGCGUAGGUGGUUCUUUAAGUCAGGGGUGAAAGACGGUAGCUUAACUAUCGCAGUGCCUUUGAUACUGAAGAACUUGAAUACACUAGAGGUAGGCGGAAUGUGACAAGUAGCGGUGAAAUGCAUAGAUAUGUCACAGAACACCAAUUGCGAAGGCAGCUUACUAUGGUGUCAUUGACACUGAGGCACGAAAGCGUGGGGAUCAAACAGGAUUAGAUACCCUGGUAGUCCACGCCCUAAACGAUGAAUACUCGAUGUUGGCGAUAUACGGUCAGCGUCUAAGCGAAAGCGUUAAGUAUUCCACCUGGGGAGUACGCCCGCAAGGGUGAAACUC